rnacentral:rRNA from 1 species
ACGGUAACAGCAAGAGCUUGCUCUUGGCUGACGAGUGGCGCACGGGUGAGUAAUGUAUAGCUAACAUGCCCUAUAGAAGGGGACAACAGUUGGAAACGACUGCUAAUACCCUAUACUCCAUUUUCAAUUAAGUUGUUAAGGCAAAGAAUUUCGCUUAUGGAUGGGGCUAUAGUGUAUCAGCUUGUUGUUAGGGUAACGGCCUAACGAGGCGCUGAUACAUAGUUGGUCUAAGAGGAUGACCAGCCACACUGGAACUGAGACACGGUCCAGACUCCUACGGGAGGCAGCAGUGGGGAAUAUUGCACAAUGGGCGAAAGCCUGAUGCAGCAAUACCGCGUGGAGGAUGAAUCAUUUAGGUGUGUAAACUCCUUUUAUAUAGGAAGAUAAUGACGGUACUAUAUGAAUAAGCACCGGCUAACUCCGUGCCAGCAGCCGCGGUAAUACGGAGGGUGCAAGCGUUACUCGGAAUCACUGGGCGUAAAGAGUGUGUAGGCGGUUUGGUAAGUCAGAUGUGAAAUCCUAUGGCUCAAUCAUAGAACUGCAUUUGAAACUGCUAGACUAGAGUUAGGGAGAGGCAAAAGGAAUUAGUGGUGUAGGGGUAAAAUCCGUAGAUAUCACUAGGAAUACCAAAUGCGAAGGCAUUUUGCUGGAACUUUACUGACGCUGAGACACGAAAGCAUGGGGAGCAAACGGGAUUAGAUACCCCGGUAGUCCAUGCCGUAAACGAUGAAUGUUAGUCGUUGCAGUGCUCGUCAUUGCAGUAAUACAGUUAACACAUUAAGUGUGCCUCCUGGGGAGUACGGUCGCAAGAUUAAAACUCAAAGGAAUAGACGGGGACCCGCACAAGCGGUGGAGCAUGUGGUUUAAUUCGAAAAUACGCGAAGAACCUUACCUAGACUUGAAAUCAUUGGAAUCUUUAAGAGAUGAGAGAGUGCUAGUUUACUAGAACCAAGUGACAGGUGCUGCACGGCUGUCGUCAGCUCGUGUCGUGAGAUGUUGGGUUAAGUCCCGCAACGAGCGCAACCCUCGUGAUUAGUUGCUAACAGUUCGGGUGAGCACUCUAAUCAGACUGCCUUCGUAAGGAGGAGGAAGGUGAGGACGACGUCAAGUCAUCAUGGCCCUUAUGUCUAGGGCUACACACGUACUACAAUGGGGCAUACAAAGAGCCGCAAUACCGCGAGGUGGAGCAAAUCUCAAAAAUGCCUCCCAGUUCGGAUAGCACUCUGCAACUCGAGUGCUUGAAGUUGGAAUCGCUAGUAAUCGUAGAUCAGCCAUGCUACGGUGAAUACGUUCCCGGGUCUUGUACUCACCGCCCGUCACACCAUGGGAAUUGAACUCAUUCGAAGCGGGAAUGCUAAAG